GGUGAGUAUUGUGGGAAAACCCUCUAUGACACAGGUAACGGAGCUGACUUAAGCUUCUCCUUUGAUCAAAGGAAGUCAAGUGUAGGAAAAAUACAUAAGACAGUAGACCCUACUUUGCCUUAUGUUUUAAAGAAAACUAGAUCAGAAAAGAACAGAUUCUGAGAGAGGAAGAGAAGACGAAACACUAGGAGAAUGUACAUUUGGUGUGACAGUGCCGCUACAUAAUAGGAG